UGUAGCCAUGUUUGUAGAGACUGCAGCGAGGGAGUAAGAGGGCUCCUGUGGGGUAGGAGCUAACAGGGGAAAAGCUUAAAAAGCAGGAGAGAGUGAGGAAAACUCCCCAGGCAGGGAAGCCUGGGAAAGACUCUGUCCAAACAAGGGGCAGACUGCAAAGGACCAUCUGGAAAGUGUGGUGGAAUGGGACAAACUCUAGGCAGGUGGUUCUGGGAAGCAGAAAUACAGCCCCCAGGGAGGUGGGGCUCUGUCCCUCUGAAGGUGGGAUGAAGACUUUUUCCCAUCUGUAAAAUCAGGAAGAUGAUACCUACCUCAAAGGGACACUGUGAGGCUUAAUUCAUUAGCAUUUGUAAAAAGUGUGGAAGUAGAGCUGCUCAAAAAAUGGUAAAGAUGACCUGCAGUGGAACUCAGCAGUUAAGGGGGGGAAAAACAAGCUACAGAUCCACUGAGAGCAAUUUGGAGUUUUCCCCUGAAAAGUAGC